AGAGUUUGAUCAUGGCUCAGAACGAACGCUGGCGGCAGGCUUAACACAUGCAAGUCGAGCGCCCCGCAAGGGGAGCGGCAGACGGGUGAGUAACGCGUGGGAAUCUACCCAUCUCUACGGAACAACUCCGGGAAACUGGAGCUAAUACCGUAUACGUCCUUCGGGAGAAAGAUUUAUCGGAGAUGGAUGAGCCCGCGUUGGAUUAGCUAGUUGGUGGGGUAAUGGCCUACCAAGGCGACGAUCCAUAGCUGGUCUGAGAGGAUGAUCAGCCACACUGGGACUGAGACACGGCCCAGACUCCUACGGGAGGCAGCAGUGGGGAAUAUUGGACAAUGGGCGAAAGCCUGAUCCAGCCAUGCCGCGUGAGUGAUGAAGGCCCUAGGGUUGUAAAGCUCUUUCAACGGUGAAGAUAAUGACGGUAACCGUAGAAGAAGCCCCGGCUAACUUCGUGCCAGCAGCCGCGGUAAUACA
rnacentral:rRNA from 1 species